AGUGAACGCUGGCGGUAGGCCUAACACAUGCGAGUCGAACGGCAGCACAGUAAGAGCUUGCUCUUACGGGUGGCGAGUGGCGGACGGGUGAGGAAUACAUCGGAAUCUACUUUUUCGUGGGGGAUAACGUAGGGAAACUUACGCUAAUACCGCAUACGACCUACGGGUGAAAGCAGGGGAUCUUCGGAUCUUGCGCGAUUGAAUGAGCCGAUGUCGGAUUAGCUAGUUGGCGGGGUAAAGGCCCACCAAGGCGACGAUCCGUAGCUGGUCUGAGAGGAUGAUCAGCCACACUGGAACUGAGACACGGUCCAGACUCCUACGGGAGGCAGCAGUGGGGAAUAUUGGACAAUGGGCGCAAGCCUGAUCCAGCCAUACCGCGUGGGUGAAGAAGGCCUUCGGGUUGUAAAGCCCUUUUGUUGGGAAAGAAAAGCAGCAGGUUAAUACCCCGCUGUUCUGACGGUACCCAAAGAAUAAGCACCGGCUAACUUCGUG
rnacentral:rRNA from 1 species